GAAAAAAAAAACAGAAGAUUUUAGUCGUUGUUGGGGCACUUGGUCUCUUUUAUAUUGAAGGCUCAAGCCUUCCCUCAAACCACUUCUCUCUAUAUUACACACACACACAGACUGGGACUUCUAUGGAGGUUUUUGUAUGUUUUUACUGCAACUAGAGGAGGCAUCCAAAGGGAUCGCAUUGAUCCCAAGUGUCUGUCCCCCAUAAUUUUGGAUCAUGCUAUCCCUUUGGAUUCCUCCUUUGGUGGCUUCUAUAACAUUAAUGGGUUUUAGUAGUGGUGAUGCUCCACACACUCGCCCUUCUCAUGCAUCAUCAACACCAACAAGUUUAGUAUGGCUCACCGAGAAAACCAACCUUGUAUUGAAGUUUGUUCAGACAGCCAAUUUUAUUAUAUCAACGUACAGAACUACAGAUCAAAUUUUAAAUGAAACCUCGCAAUAUUGCCACUUACAAACCAUUGGAUUAAUCCAAACUCCAAAUUUGGCACGACGCCAGUGGAUCUGAUUUUAAUAAGGCUACAUACUACUGUCUACUUGCCCCAGAAAAAAAGAAAUGGACAUUAGCUUCGAGAAAAUUUCCAAGAGGGUAAGUAUCUUCUUGUUAUUGUUGCUUACAGUUGUCAUGAAUGUGAUUUGGUAAUUUUAUAAUACCCACAUUUAGUCCUUCAAGAUUAAAUGGUAAACAUGUAACCAAGGACGAAUAUUUAUUCCUUCUUUCAAAACAUGUGAGACGAUAAAUUUAUUUGUUGUUCGAGGGAGUCUGUACCGAUCUUCAAUAGGUGUGGGGUUUUCUGGCGGAGCUCCUACGCAAUCUCCAACCGAGAACUCUUGUUUUCAGUGAAAGAAUUAGAAGUUAAGUUCUGGUGAA